rnacentral:rRNA from 1 species
GACGGGGGGAUGCAAGCGUUAUCCGGAAUGAUUGGGCGUAAAGGGUCCGCAGGUGGCCCGGUCAGUCCGCUGUCAAAGCCUGGGGGCUCAACCCUGGAGAGGCGGCGGAGACCACCGGGCUUGAGUCCGGUAGGGGCAGAGGGAAUUCCCGGUGGAGCGGUGAAAUGCGUAGAUAUUGGGAGGAACACCAGUGGCGAAGGCGGCUCACUGGACCGGAACUGACGCUGAGGCGCGAAAGCGUGGGGAGCAAACGGG